GACGUAGGGCGCGAGCGUUGUCCGGAUUUAUUGGGCGUAAAGAGCUCGUAGGCGGUCUGUCGCGUCUGCUGUGAAAACCCGAGGCUCAACCUCGGGCCUGCAGUGGGUACGGGCAGACUAGAGUGCGGUAGGGGAGAAUGGAACUCCUGGUGUAGCGGUGGAAUGCGCAGAUAUCAGGAAGAACACCGAUGGCGAAGGCAGUUCUCUGGGCCGUAACUGACGCUGAGGAGCGAAAGCGUGGGGAGCGAACAGG
rnacentral:rRNA from 1 species